AUGCGGGAAAGGCAGCGGAGGACUCAGAUGUCACCUGUAGGAGCCACUGGACAUUUUGAGGAGGGCAUACCCACCCCCCCAUCUGCUCUGAGCAGGUCUGUGCAGAACCGUGGACACAAAGAGGGGAGGCUGCAGCCAGGGCACCUGCUGUGGGCUGUUGUCAUUGUUUGCGUUGGAACAGGGAGAGGGGGGGAACCCAGCCACAGGUGCAUCGCAGAAUGUGGACUAAGAACAGCCGUCCUGGCCUUCCUGCAGCAACAUGGUGGUGGCAUUCUUUCCAACCGGGGAAGGACAUUUUCAAAAGUAGAGAAUUCACCUGCGAUCCUGUUAUGCUUAGGUUUCUCUGUUUUGUCCGCUUUCCAUCUCAGAUAUUCUCCACAUAUGUAUUUUUUACACAAUGGUUUCAGAGGCUUAUGUGUAAUCAGGAUGUGCACAGUUUGAGUCUGCUUUUCUCACUUAGUGCAAAUGCGCACUUUGCUAAGUUGCUUAAUUUUCUAAUCCCUUAAUUUUGAAUAUUUAGGUGGUUGGUAGUAUUUUUUUCUUUUCUUUUCUUUUUUUUUUUUUUUUUUUUUUUUUUUUUUUUUUUUUUUUUUUUUUUGCUGUUACAGAAAUUUGUCCUAAAUGCACUACAACCUUUUCUCACUGUUUUCAGGGCAUAAAUACCCUCGCGAUGGUCAAAGGCUAUGAAAAUUUUCAUAGUUUGAUACAAAUGCUUGCACUGAGCAGUAAUUAUCAGGCACUGAAGGAAGUCAGAGGUUCGGUGCAAUCUGGUUAGAGAUAUUCAUCAGUAAAAAUGUAUUUUUCCACUUCGCUAGAUUAUGAGAUGAAAUGGUACCUCAUUUUAAUUUACAUUUCCUUGAAAACAGUAAGAUCGGAAAUCUUUCCAAAUGUAAUUCCUCUUAUGUAAACUGCCUAAUUAAUAUAGCCUUCAGAUAUUGAGCUAUUAUUUUAUAUUUCUUUUUUUUUUUUUUUGUCUUUUUGUCUUUUAGGGCCUCACCCACAGCAUAUGGACAUUCCCAGGCUAGGGGUCUAAUUGGAGCUGUAGCCGCUGGCCUACACCACAGCCACAGCAACGUGGGAUCCGAGCUGUGUCUGCGACCUACACCGCAGCCCACAGCAAUGCUGGAUCCUUAACCCACUGAGUGAGGCCAGGGAUCGAACCCGAGUCCUCAUGGAUGCUAAUUGGGUUUGCUGAGCCACGACGGGAACUCCUAUUUUAUAUUUCUUAUUAAUUUGUAUGAACGAUUCAUCCUUGUCACAAUUGCUUCAAAUAUUUUUCCACUCUUCUAGCUAUUUUUAAUUUUUGGUUUUACAUUUUCAUAGUCAAAUUUGUUGGUCCUAGCAAGUUUCAGGGUUUAGAAUGUUACUUUCUUCUUUCUAAAAACAUCCAAUUCUAUUCUUGUUAAAAUUCUGUAUCCUCUUUUUAAGUCCACCUAGAGUGUAAUCUUUUUAUUUAUUUAUUAAAAAAAUUUUUUUUUGUCUUUUUAGGGCCAUACUCAAGGCAUAUGGAGGUUCCCAGGCUAGGGGUCCAUUCAGAGCCGUAGCCACCAGUCUACACCACAGCCACAGCUAUAGCAACACGGGAUCUGCGCUGCAUCUGUGAUCUACACCACAGCUCAUGGCAAUGCCAGAUCCUUAACCCACUGAGUGAGGCCAGGGAUGGAACCCACGUCCUCACAGAUACUAGUUGGGUUCAUUACUGCUAAGCCACGAUAGCAACUCCCUAGAGUGUAAUCUUUUUUCCUCCAGAUUUCUGUCGAACUUUCUCAACAUCAUUAAAUUAAAAAACAUUUUUUAAAACACCCCACAGUGUACUGAUGUUGAAUUCAUAAUGUACCCGCUUCUGGCCAGUGAGCAAAGGGGUCAGAUGGUUGUGUGAGAGUCUGGCCUCCACGUCAGCUUUGUGACCUGACCAUCGGGCACUGCUGGGCUCUGGUUCCCACAUCUUAGGGCGAGUGGGUUUAGAGAGAGCACUGGGGAAGGGCCCCCCCACUCCCUGUGGGGUCUGAGCAGGGCUCCAGUGCCCCUCCCCCACUGGCUCCUUUGCACAUAGUGGGUGGUGGGUGAUGGUUUGGAGGGGCUCUGGGAACCACCAAGAGGUCCUG
ensembl:lncRNA